rnacentral:rRNA from 1 species
UGCGUAGGGAGCAAGCGUUGUCCGGAAUCAUUGGGCGUAAAGCGCGCGUAGGUGGCUUCGUAAGUCCGUUGUGAAAGUCAAAGGCUCAACCUUUGAAAGCCGAUGGAUACUGUGAAGCUAGAGUACGGAAGAGGCGAGUGGAAUUCCUGGUGUAGCGGUGGAAUGCGCAGAUAUCAGGAGGAACACCAAUAGCGAAGGCAGCUCGCUGGGACGUUACUGACACUGAGGCGCGAAAGCGUGGGGAGCGAACAGG